CUACGGGUGGCACCAGUGAGGAAUAUUGCACAAUGGGGGGAACCCUGAUGCAGCAACGCCGCGUGGAGGAUGACGCAUUUCGGUGUGUAAACUCCUUUUAUAUGUCAAGAAAAUGACGGUAGCAUAUGAAUAAGCACCGGCUAACUCCGUGCCAGCAGCCGCGGUAAUACGGAGGGUGCAAGCGUUACUCGGAAUCACUGGGCGUAAAGGACGCGUAGGCGGGCUUGUAAGUCAGGUGUGAAAUCCUACAGCUUAACUGUAGAACUGCACUUGAAACUACGAGCCUAGAGUAUGGGAGGGGCAGAUGGAAUUAGUGGUGUAGGGGUAAAAUCCGUAGAUAUCACUAGGAAUACCUAAAGCGAAGGCGACCUGCUGGAACAUAACUGACGCUAAGGCGUGAAAGCGUGGGGAGCAAACAGGAUUAGAUACCCCCGUAGUC
rnacentral:rRNA from 1 species